GAUACGUGUUGGGCAGUUGCUACCCCCUAUUUAGAAGGGAUAGAGGAAAGUCCGAACUCCGCAGAACAAGGUGCCGGGUAAUGCCCGGGGGCGUUGUAACGCAAGUUCAAGGCUACGGAAAGUGCCACAGAAAAAAUACCGCUCCGAUUUGAUUCGGGGUAAGGGUGAAAUGGCGAGGUAAGAGCUCACCGUUCCGAUAGUAAUAUCGGAAGCUGGGCAAACCACACCUGGUGCAAGGUCAAGCAGAAAGCAUCCCGAUUUAUCGGGGCAAGGCUGUUCGUCUUGGUUGUCUGCUUUUUUUUAGCAGACAUUGUUUUCGGGUAGACCGCUGGAUCAUGGCAGUAAUGCUGUGGCGAGAUAAAUAACUGCCGCCCCUGAUUUCAAUCGGGGGAACAGAAUUCGGCUUAUAAACACGUAUCAUUA
rnacentral:RNase_P_RNA from 1 species